AAAGGCAACAUACACAAAGAGCACAGAGCUGCCAAGUGCCGCCCCGCAGGGUCUUCAGACAAAAGCAGAACCGGGGGCCUAUAAAUAUCCGCAAGGUGACAGAACACACAAACAGAUAAGGGACAAAUACUACAGAUGUUUUAGAGUCUGGAUCUCCAGCCACAGUAAGAAUAAAGACAGGCCUGGUAAGGCACUGGUGGACAAAUAACUGGAUGGCUGGGAAACCAGAUAGCAAAGCCCAGGGCGACUCAGUACCGGGGAUAGAGAGACCGCAAGUGAGGCUGAACAACUCUUAUUACCACCACACGGAGGGUCUAAGGCAUGCACUUUGUAACAUACAUUGCAACUGAUCACAGGCCUUUGAGGCAGGUCCUGGUUCUCAAGGCCACUUUGGAUACAUGAAAUGAACAGAUAAAUUAUCUCUACAAAAUGAACCGUGAAUUCCACAGGGGCUCACCGCAAUAAAUAGGAGUCCCUGCUGUAAAGAGUUUCCUCUGGCACAAACAAUAGACAUAAACAAAUAUUCGUUGAAGAUGCAACUUUGUUUCAGCCAAACGCAUCUAUUCAAUACCAUGGAGAACUUGUGAUCUUUCCAUUUCUUUUUAAAGAAGGAGCUGUUUUCAUUUUUCCUAUGGCUGCUUGGGUGUGAGUUUAGUUUACAACUGAGAAGUGAAGACAAUGAGCCCAAGUGGAAGGAUUUCCAAAAUCUACUCUCAGACAGCAUGCAUGCAAGCAGGAGAGAGAAUCUUAAGCGCACUCCACGCUCAGUGCGGAACCUGAUGUGGGGGGCUCAAUCCCGUGACCCUGGGAUCAGGACCUGAGCCCAAAUCAAGAGGUGGACGCUCAACCAACCGAGCCACCCAGGCGCCCCUGACUGAAUAUGAAACUCGCAAAGACUUGGCAGACUUGCAUGAGCAUUUUCCUUUUCUAAACCUCUAUUCAAGCUUUGUUAAAGUCCUUAAGUUGAUUCCUUGAGUGCUUAAUUUUCCCAAGCCAAUGAUUGAAAAAAAAGAUAACAUCUAUGUUGGAAAGCAUAUGGAAAAAUGAAUGCUCCACAUUAUAAAUUGAAAAAUGAGGAGCCAUGGUAUUUAUGGUUCUUUGCAACUUUCUAAGUUUAUGAGAAACAGGUGUUCUGAGGAGUCUCCAAUGUUGAUUUCAGCUACUGAUAAUCAGUUAUCUGGUACUGAGUAGUGAAGAUUCUCACGGACAGUGAGAAAAAGAACAGAGAUGGCAUCCAACAAUUCCAAACAUUCUGGUAAAAGCUUAAAUACCCAGUCAACGUGAUCAUUUUCGUUCUGUGUCUCUAUGAAAGUAAAAUAUCUCAACAUUUUAACAGACUUUUCAGUGAUCACGAACGCAAGAUUUUAUUGUAUUCUUAGAUAAGGUCAAAAGAUCUAUGUGUUCCUAUGAAGCACAAGCUUCCCCCACCAAAAGAAAAACAAUAAAUGGAAAACAUCAAGAGGGCAGAAGGAGAGUAAAAGAAUGGAUCUCUAAGACUGGAGAGCAAAGAACGUUCUAUUUCCUAGGGAUUAACAUUUACACAAACACUGACUACACUAAUGGAGGGCCUUAUCCACACUUUAUCAUUUUGUUUAGUUUAUCUGGACGAUGAUGCGAAACAAACCCAAAAUGAAGGAGGGACAGAGCUACUAUCUACGCAACUCUUCCAACUCAUAAGUCACC